GAUGAACGCUAGCGGCAGGCCUAACACAUGCAAGUCGAGGGGUAGCAGGAUUAAGCUUGCUUAAUUGCUGACGACCGGCGCACGGGUGCGUAACGCGUAUGCAACCUACCUUAUACUGGGGUAUAGCCCGGAGAAAUUCGGAUUAAUCCCCCAUAGUACUAAUGAAUCGCAUGGUUUAUUAGUUAAAGCAUUGCGGUAUAAGAUGGGCAUGCGUCCUAUUAGCUAGAUGGUGAGGUAACGGCUCACCAUGGCUACGAUAGGUAGGGGGCCUGAGGGGGUGGUCCCCCACACUGGUACUGAGACACGGACCAGACUCCUACGGGAGGCAGCUGUGAGGAAUAUUGGUCAAUGGGCGCAAGCCUGAACCAGCCAUGCCGCGUGCAGGAAGAAUGCCCUAUGGGUUGUAAACUGCUUUUAUUUGGGAAUAAACCUCUUUACGUGUAGAGAGCUGAAGGUACCAAAUGAAUAAGCACCGGCUAACUCCGUGCCAGCAGCCGCGGUAA
rnacentral:rRNA from 1 species